rnacentral:rRNA from 1 species
AUUGAACGCUGGCGGCAGGCCUAACACAUGCAAGUCGAGCGGCGCGGCGGACGGGAGAGUAAUGCCUAGGAAUCUGCCUGGUAGUGGGGGAUAACGUCCGGAAACGGGCGCUAAUCCUGCAUACUAUAAGAUGAGACUAGGUCGGAUUAGCUAGUUGUUGGGGUAAAGGCCUAACCAGGCGACGAUCCGUAUCUGGUCUGAGAGGAUGAUCAGUAACACUGGAACUGAGAAACGGUCCGGACUCCUACGUGAGGCAGCAGUGGGGAAUAUUGGACAAUGGGCGAAAGCCUGAGCCAGCCAUGCCGCGUGUGUGAAGAAGGUCUUCGGAUUGUAAAGCACUUUAAGUUGGGAGGCGUUACCAACAGAAUAAGCACCGGCUAACUUCGUGCCAGCAGCCGCGGUAAUUC